AUAGCUAGCUGGUUUGUUAACAAUUUUUUUUGCAACAUUAAAAUAUAUUAAAUAUGAAAGACAUUCCUCUUUGGGCAUUAUGACCUUCUAGACUUUAUAUAUUUACAUCAUUCUUAAAUCUUUUCUAAUUGAGCUGUAGUUGGCACCAUUCACAAUGGUUUUCUUCUGUUAUGUUGUCAUGGAAACAGAUACAUCUCGAGUACUUCCAGAGUUUGGAGAAGUUGAAAUAUCUUCUCUACCAGAUGGUGCUGCUCUUGAAGACAUAAAAUCAUUGCAAAGUCUUUAUCGAGAGCACUGUGAGGCAAUAGUGGAUGUUGUUGUGAAUCUUCAGUUUAGCCUGAUAGAAAAAUUGUGGCAAACUUUCUGGCGCUAUUCUCCUUCUGCUCCAGCUGAUGGCACUGGUAUUAUUGAAGCAAGGACCAUUUUUAUGCUACCUCUGCAUAAUUUCUGGGCUGGAGCUGAACUUUGGAGGCCAUUUUUCCCCAGUUUCAUAUGAACAAGCAAUCUGACUGAAAUAGAAAGUCGACUUCCAAAAGGAAAACUGAUUACUCUGUGCAAAAAUGAGUCUAUUCUGAAAUGGAUUUGUAAUUGUGACCAUGUGAUGUACCAGGCUUUGGUGGAGAUUCUCAUUCCUGAUGUCCUUAGACCUAUUCCUAGUAAGUUAAACACAGAUAACACCUCAUAAGAAUUUUGGCUUGGUUUGUUUUAUGUGGUGGUGUUUUUGUGCAUCACGUGAGACUUUGGGGAAUGAUUUCGAAGGAUAUAAAAGUAGCAUGUGUCAUCUUUCCUUAAUUCUGUUGAGUAGGAAGGUGUACUGGAGUUGAUGUAAGCACUGUAUUUAAAGAAAAGGAGACUAGAUAUUUCACUGCAUUUAGGGAACUCUCCAGAAGUUUUUGGAAUAUAUUUCCCUAUGGAAGAUGCUUUUGUCACUGCAAAGUCUAAGUUUUUAUUAAUUUUAAGAUAAAAAUGGGUUCCUUUACACACUGGCUCUAGUCUACCUGACAGAUGCGAAUGCACUAUGGUCCUGAGCCUGAGUCCAUUAAUGUCAGACAGUCUUUCCACUGACUUCAGUAGACUUUAGCAUUACAUAUAAAAAAACUUUCCCAGACCAGACUUUUCCUCUGGUCUCAGGAGCCUGGGGUUCCUGAAAGCAGUCCUUACCAGUAAAGACUGAGGUGAAGAAGGCAUUCAGUACCUCAUCCUUUCCCAUGUCCUUGGUCUUCAGGAUCCCUGCCCCAUUCAGCAGCAGGCCUGCAUUUUCCCUGGUCUUUAUUUUGCUGCUGAUGUACCCGUAGAAGCUCUUAAUGUUGCCCUUCAUAUCCCUCGCCAGUUUCAACUCUAGGUGGGCUUUGGCUUUCCUAACCCCAUCUCUGUACUCUCAGACAGUGUCUCUGUAUUCCUCCUGGGUCACUUGUCCCUUUUUCUGGCUCCCAUAUGCUUCCUUUUUAUGUUUGAGUUUAGUCAGGAGCUCCUUGUUCAUCCACACAGGCUUCCUGCCACCUUUGCUCGAUUUCCUGCUCACUGGGAUGGACCAUUCUUGAUCACGGAGGAGGUGAUCCUUGAAUAUCCCUGGACCCUCCUCUGCUCUCCAGGACUCUACCCUGUGGGAUUCUUCCAAACAGGUCCCUGCACAGGCCAAAGUCUGCUCUCCUGAAAUUUAGAGUUGUGAUCCUGCCAUUUGCAUUGCUCCCUCCUCUCAGGAUUCUCAACUCCACCAUCUCACGGUCAAUGCAGCCCAGGCUGCCCACAACCUUCCAGGCUGCUCCAACCACAGUUCUUCCUUGUUUGUAAGAAUUGCAUCCAGCAGAGUGUCUCCCCUUCAGCCCUGUUUUUCUGAUUACAAGCUCUCUCUUUUUCCAUAACACCUUGAACCCGCUCCUUGUCAACCCAUUCCACCACUUCCUCAUUUGAUUGUGGACCUCCCUUGUCAUUUCUAGUUUAAAGCUCUCCUCACCAGGUUGGCCAGCCUGCUGGUAAAGAUGCUUUUGCCUCACUUGGUCAGGUGGAUCCCAUCU